rnacentral:rRNA from 2 species
UGGGGAAUAUUGCACAAUGGGCGAAAGCCUGAUGCAGCGACGCCGCGUGAGGGAUGACGGCCUUCGGGUUGUAAACCUCUUUCAGUAGGGAAGAAGCGAAAGUGACGGUACCUGCAGAAGAAGCACCGGCUAACUACGUGCCAGCAGCCGCGGUAAUACGUAGGGUGCGAGCGUUAUCCGGAAUUAUUGGGCGUAAAGAGCUCGUAGGCGGUUUGUCGCGUCUGUCGUGAAAGUCCGGGGCUUAACCCCGGAUCUGCGGUGGGUACGGGCAGACUAGAGUGCAGUAGGGGAGACUGGAAUUCCUGGUGUAGCGGUGGAAUGCGCAGAUAUCAGGAGGAACACCGAUGGCGAUGGCAGGUCUCUGGGCUGUAACUGACGCUGAGGAGCGAAAGCAUGGGGAGCGAACAGG